GCGCAAGCCUGAUGCAGCGACGCCGCGUGAGGGAUGACGGCCUUCGGGUUGUAAACCUCUGUUAGCAUCGAAGAAGCGAAAGUGACGGUAGGUGCAGAGAAAGCGCCGGCUAACUACGUGCCAGCAGCCGCGGUAAUACGUAGGGCGCGAGCGUUGUCCGGAAUUAUUGGGCGUAAAGAGCUUGUAGGCGGUUGGUCGCGUCUGCUGUGAAAGGCUGGGGCUUAACCCUGGUUUUGCAGUGGGUACGGGCUAACUAGAGUGCAGUAGGGGAGACUGGAAUUCCUAGUGUAGCGGUGGAAUGCGCAGAUAUCAGGAGGAACACCGAUGGCGAAGGCAGGUCUCUGGGCUGUAACUGACGCUGAGAAGCGAAAGCAUGGGGAGCGAGCAGGAUUAGAUACCCCUGGUAGUCCCAUGCCGUAAACGUUGGGCACUAGGUGUGGGGGGACAUUCCACGUUUUCCCGCGCCGUAGCUAACGCAUUAAGUGCCCCGCCUGGGGAGUACCGGCCGCAAGGCUAAAACUCAAAGAAAUUGACGGGGGCCCGCACAAGC
rnacentral:rRNA from 1 species